rnacentral:snRNA from 1 species
AUCCUUACCUGGCAGGGGAGAUACCAUGAUCAUGAAGGUGGUUUUUCCAGGGUGAGGCUCACCCAUUGCACUUUGGGUAUGCUGAUCCCUAUGAUUUCCCCAAAUGUGGGAAACUUGACUGCAUAAUUUGUGAUAGUGGGGGACUGUGUUUGUGCUCUCCCAUG